ACUUUGUUAGCUUGGUUUGUAGAGCACUGGAUUCAUAAUCCAUGGAUUGCAGGUUCAAUACCUGACAGCCUAAGUA